UACGGGGGGGGCAAGCGUUGUUCGGAAUUACUGGGCGUAAAGGGCUUGUAGGUGGCUUGUUAAGUCAGACGUGAAAUCCCUCAGCUUAACUGGGGAACUGCGUCUGAUACUGGCGAGCUUGAGUGCAGGAGAGGAACGCGGAAUUCCAGGUGUAGCGGUGAAAUGCGUAGAUAUCAGGAGGAACACCGGUGGCGAAGGCGGAUCUCUGGGCCAUUACUGACGCUGAGGAGCGAAAGCGUGGGGAGCGAACAGG
rnacentral:rRNA from 1 species